rnacentral:rRNA from 1 species
UACAGAGGGUGCGAGCGUUGUCCGGAAUCACUGGGCGUAAAGGGCGCGUAGGUGGUGGCUUAAGCGUGCGGUGAAAGCUCGGGGCUCAACUCCGAGUCGGCCAUGCGAACUGGGGGACUGGAGCACUGUAGAGGCAGGUGGAAUUCCGGGUGUAGCGGUGGAAUGCGUAGAGAUCCGGAAGAACACCGGUGGCGAAGGCGGCCU